rnacentral:piRNA from 1 species
GUAAUUUAAUGCCUGGCUGUGACU